GACGAACGCUGGCGGCGUGCUUAACACAUGCAAGUCGAACGGUGAAGCGCCUUCCUUUUUGGUGGGUGUGGAUGAGUGGCGAACGGGUGAGUAACACGUGAGUAACCUGCCCCCUUCUUCUGGAUAACCGCAUGAAAGUGUGGCUAAUACGGGAUAUUCUGGGUCUGUCGCAUGAUGGGUCUGGGAAAGAUAUUGUUUCGGUGGGGGAUGGGCUCGCGGCCUAUCAGCUUGUUGGUGGGGUGAUGGCCUACCAAGGCGGUGACGGGUAGCCGGCCUGGGAGGGUGGACGGUCACACUGGGACUGAGACACGGCCCAGACUCCUACGGGAGGCAGCAGCGGGGAAUAUUGCACAAUGGGCGCAAGCCUGAUGCAGCGACGCCGCGUGAGGGAUGGAGGCCUUCGGGUUGUGAACCUCUUUCGCCAGUGAAGCAGGCCUGCCUCGUUUGUGGGUGGGUUGACGGUAGCUGGAUAAGAAGCGCCGGCUAACUACGUG
rnacentral:rRNA from 1 species